GGGGUGAACCGGCCCAGGUCGGAAACGGAG
rnacentral:piRNA from 3 species